rnacentral:rRNA from 1 species
CAGUCGCCACGGGAAUACGUAGGUGGCAAGCGUUGUCCGGAAUUAUUGGGCGUAAAGGGCUCGCAGGCGGUUUCUUAAGUCUGAUGUGAAGGCCCCCGGCUCAACCGGGGAGGGUCAUUGGAAACUGGGAAACUUGAGUGCAGAAGAGGAGAGUGGAAUUCCACGUGUAGCGGUGAAAUGCGUAGAGAUGUGGAGGAACACCAGUGGCGAAGGCGACUCUCUGGUCUGUAACUGACGCUGAGGAGCGAAAGCGUGGGGAGCGAACAGGAUUAGAUACCCGCGUAGUCCCUGUCUCUUAUAA